rnacentral:rRNA from 1 species
GGGUUGUGAGGUUAAGCGACUAAGCGUACACGGUGGAUGCCCUGGCAGUCAGAGGCGAUGAAGGACGUGCUAAUCUGCGAAAAGCGUCGGUAAGGUGAUAUGAACCGUUAUAACCGGCGAUGUCCGAAUGGGGAAACCCAGUGCAAUUCGUUGCACUAUCGUUAACUGAAUACAUAGGUUAACGAGGCGAACCGGGGGAACUGAAACAUCUAAGUACCCCGAGGAAAAGAAAUCAACCGAGAUUCCCCCAGUAGCGGCGAGCGAACGGGGAGCAGCCCAGAGUCUGAAUCAGCUUGUGUGUUAGUGGAACGGUCUGGAAAGUCCGACGGUACAGGGUGAUAGUCCCGUACACCAAAAUGCACAGGCUGUGAACUCGAAGAGUAGGGCGGGACACGUGGUAUCCUGUCUGAAUAUGGGGGGACCAUCCUCCAAGGCUAAAUACUCCUGACUGACCGAUAGUGAACCAGUACCGUGAGGGAAAGGCGAAAAGAACCCCGGCGAGGGGAGUGAAAAAGAACCUGAAACCGUGUACGUACAAGCAGUGGGAGCACCUUCGGGUGUGACUGCGUACCUUUUGUAUAAUGGGUCAGCGACUUAUAUUCUGUAGCAAGGUUAACCGUAUAGGGGAGCCGCAGGGAAACCGAGUCUUAACUGGGCGUUAAGUUGCAGGGUAUAGACCCGAAACCCGGUGAUCUAGCCAUGGGCAGGUUGAAGGUUGGGUAACACUAACUGGAGGACCGAACCGACUAAUGUUGAAAAAUUAGCGGAUGACUUGUGGCUGGGGGUGAAAGGCCAAUCAAACCGGGAGAUAGCUGGUUCUCCCCGAAAGCUAUUUAGGUAGCGCCUCGUGAACUCAUCUUCGGGGGUAGAGCACUGUUUCGGCUAGGGGGUCAUCCCGACUUACCAACCCGAUGCAAACUACGAAUACCGAAGAAUGUUAUCACGGGAGACACACGGCGGGUGCUAACGUCCGUCGUGAAGAGGGAAACAACCCAGACCGCCAGCUAAGGUCCCAAAGUCAUGGUUAAGUGGGAAACGAUGUGGGAAGGCACAGACAGCCAGGAUGUUGGCUUAGAAGCAGCCAUCAUUUAAAGAAAGCGUAAUAGCUCACUGGUCGAGUCGGCCUGCGCGGAAGAUGUAACGGGGCUAAACCAUGCACCGAAGCUGCGGCAGCGACACUAUGUGUUGUUGGGUAGGGGAGCGUUCUGUAAGCCUGCGAAGGUGACCUGUGAGGGUUGCUGGAGGUAUCAGAAGUGCGAAUGCUGACAUAAGUAACGAUAAAGCGGGUGAAAAGCCCGCUCGCCGGAAGACCAAGGGUUCCUGUCCAACGUUAAUCGGGGCAGGGUGAGUCGACCCCUAAGGCGAGGCCGAAAGGCGUAGUCGAUGGGAAACAGGUUAAUAUUCCUGUACUUGGUGUUACUGCGAAGGGGGGACGGAGAAGGCUAUGUUAGCCGGGCGACGGUUGUCCCGGUUUAAGCAUGUAGGCUGGUUGUCCAGGCAAAUCCGGAUAAUCAAGGCUGAGGUGUGAUGACGAGGCACUACGGUGCUGAAGUAACAAAUGCCCUGCUUCCAGGAAAAGCCUCUAAGCAUCAGGUAACAUCAAAUCGUACCCCAAACCGACACAGGUGGUCAGGUAGAGAAUACCAAGGCGCUUGAGAGAACUCGGGUGAAGGAACUAGGCAAAAUGGUGCCGUAACUUCGGGAGAAGGCACGCUGGUGUGUAGGUGAAGCCCCUGCGGGUGGAGCUGAGACCAGUCGAAGAUACCAGCUGGCUGCAACUGUUUAUUAAAAACACAGCACUGUGCAAACACGAAAGUGGACGUAUACGGUGUGACGCCUGCCCGGUGCCGGAAGGUUAAUUGAUGGGGUUAUCCGUAAGGAGAAGCUCUUGAUCGAAGCCCCGGUAAACGGCGGCCGUAACUAUAACGGUCCUAAGGUAGCGAAAUUCCUUGUCGGGUAAGUUCCGACCUGCACGAAUGGCGUAAUGAUGGCCAGGCUGUCUCCACCCGAGACUCAGUGAAAUUGAACUCGCUGUGAAGAUGCAGUGUACCCGCGGCAAGACGGAAAGACCCCGUGAACCUUUACUAUAGCUUGACACUGAACAUUGAGCCUUGAUGUGUAGGAUAGGUGGGAGGCUUUGAAGCGUGGACGCCAGUCUGCGUGGAGCCAACCUUGAAAUACCACCCUUUAAUGUUUGAUGUUCUAACGUUGGCCCCUGACCGGGGUUGCGGACAGUGUCUGGUGGGUAGUUUGACUGGGGCGGUCUCCUCCCAAAGCGUAACGGAGGAGCACGAAGGUUAGCUAAUCCUGGUCGGACAUCAGGAGGUUAGUGCAAUGGCAUAAGCUAGCUUGACUGCGAGCGUGACGGCGCGAGCAGGUGCGAAAGCAGGUCAUAGUGAUCCGGUGGUUCUGAAUGGAAGGGCCAUCGCUCAACGGAUAAAAGGUACUCCGGGGAUAACAGGCUGAUACCGCCCAAGAGUUCAUAUCGACGGCGGUGUUUGGCACCUCGAUGUCGGCUCAUCACAUCCUGGGGCUGAAGUAGGUCCCAAGGGUAUGGCUGUUCGCCAUUUAAAGUGGUACGCGAGCUGGGUUUAGAACGUCGUGAGACAGUUCGGUCCCUAUCUGCCGUGGGCGCUGGAGAAUUGAGGGGGGCUGCUCCUAGUACGAGAGGACCGGAGUGGACGCAUCACUGGUGUUCGGGUUGUCAUGCCAAUGGCACUGCCCGGUAGCUAAAUGCGGAAGAGAUAAGUGCUGAAAGCAUCUAAGCACGAAACUUGCCCCGAGAUGAGUUCUCCCUGAGACUAUAAGUCUCCUGAAGGAACGUUAAAGACGAUGACGUUGAUAGGCCGGGUGUGUAAGCGCAGCGAUGCGUUGAGCUAACCGGUACUAAUGAACCGUGAGGCUUAACCUUACAACGCCGAAG